rnacentral:rRNA from 1 species
UACGUAGGGUGCAAGCGUUGUCCGGAAUUAUUGGGCGUAAAGGGCUCGUAGGCGGUCUGUCACGUCGGGAGUGAAAACUCAGGGCUUAACCCUGAGCCUGCUUCCGAUACGGGCAGACUAGAGGUAUGCAGGGGAGAACGGAAUUCCUGGUGUAGCGGUGAAAUGCGCAGAUAUCAGGAGGAACACCGGUGGCGAAGGCGGGUCUCUGGGCCGAUACUGACGCUGAGGAGCGAAAGCAUGGGAGCGAACAGG